CAGCCGCCACGGUAAUACGUAGGGUGCAAGCGUUAAUCGGAAUUACUGGGCGUAAAGCGUGCGCAGGCGGUUUGUUAAGACAGAUGUGAAAUCCCCGGGCUCAACCUGGGAACUGCAUUUGUGACUGGCAAGCUAGAGUGUGGCAGAGGGGGGUGGAAUUCCGCGUGUAGCAGUGAAAUGCGUAGAUAUGCGGAGGAACACCGAUGGCGAAGGCAGCCCCCUGGGCCAACACUGACGCUCAUGCACGAAAGCGUGGGGAGCAAACAGGAUUAGAUACCCGGGUAGUCCCUGUCUCUUAUAC
rnacentral:rRNA from 1 species